CGCGUAGGCGGUGCGGUAAGUCACCUGUGAAAUCUCCGGGCUUAACUCGGAGCCUGCAGGCGAAACUGCCGUGCUGGAGUAUGGGAGAGGUGCGUGGAAUUCCCGGUGUAGCGUUGAAAUGCGUAGAUAUCGGGAGGAACACCUGUGGCGAAAGCGGCGCACUGGACCAUAACUGACGCUGAGGCGCGAAAGCUAGGGGAGCAAACA
rnacentral:rRNA from 1 species